rnacentral:rRNA from 1 species
CCUACGGGAGGCAGCAGUGGGGAAUCUUCCGCAAUGGGCGAAAGCCUGACGGAGCAACGCCGCGUGAUCGAAUGAAGGCCUUCGGGUUGUAAAGCUCUGUUGACAGGGACGAAUAAGCAGUGCGAAUAGUUUUUUGUAUGACGGUACCUGUUUAGAACGCUCCGGCUAACUACGUGCCAGCAGCCGCGGUAAUACGUAGGGAGCAAGCGUUGUCCGGAAUUACUGGGCGUAAGGGGCGCGUAGGUGGGCGUUUAAGUCAGGUGUGAAAAUUCCGGGCUCAACCUGGAGACUGCACUUGAAACUGGGGGUCUUGAGGGCAGGAGAGGAAAGUGGAAUUCCUAGUGUAGCGGUGAAAUGCGUAGAUAUUAGGAGGAACACCAGUGGCGAAGGCGACUUGCUGGACUGUACCUGACGCUGAGGCGCGAAAGCGUGGGUAGCGAACGGGAUUAGAUACCCGUGUAGUC